rnacentral:rRNA from 1 species
UACGUAGGGUGCGAGCGUUGUCCGGAAUUAUUGGGCGUAAAGAGCUCGUAGGCGGUCUGUCGCGUCGAUCGUGAAAACUUGGGGCUUAACCCUGAGCUUGCGGUCGAUACGGGCAUGACUGGAGUUCGGUAGGGGAGACUGGAAUUCCUGGUGUAGCGGUGAAAUGCGCAGAUAUCAGGAGGAACACCGAUGGCGAAGGCAGGUCUCUGGGCCGAUACUGACGCUGAGGAGCGAAAGCGUGGGGAGCGAACAGG